rnacentral:lncRNA from 1 species
UCAGUGUCAGCAAGCACUCUCUACCCAUGGGAUCCAUCAUCUACGUACAUCCAUGAGCCUCCUUAUUUCAAGGAUAUGACAAUGACCCCUCCUGGCCCUCGACCCGUGAAGGAUGCAUAUUGCCUUCUGAACUUUGGUGACAGUAUCACAACUGAUCACAUCUCCCCUGCUGGAAGCAUUCACCCAGAUAGCCCAGCUGCAAAAUAUCUGAAGGAGCGUGGUGUUGAAAGGAAGGACUUCAACUCGUAUGGUAGUCGACGUGGAAAUGAUGAGAUCAUGGCCAGGGGAACUUUUGCCAACAUUCGCCUUGUGAACAAGUUCCUGAAGGGUGAGGUUGGACCAAAAACAAUCCACAUUCCAUCUGGGGAGAAGCUUGCUGUUUUUGAUGCUGCUAUGGUAAUAUAAUUCUAAUCAAUACCAUGUAGUUCAGUGAUACAUGAUAUGUGGCACCAGCGUUCAUUAUUUAUAUUGAUCCAUUCUUUUUUGUUUACUGGCACAGAAAUACAAGAAUGAAGGGCAUGACACUAUAAUCCUGGCUGGCGCCGAGUAUGGUAGUGGAAGCUCUCGGGAUUGGGCUGCAAAGGGCCCAAUGCUUCAGGUAAGUAGUUUCCACUAUUUUCUUCAACUAUGCUGUUAACAAACCUAACUGUGUCACUUAUGGUGACAUAUGUUCACUUGAUGGCUGCAGGGAGUCAAGGCUGUGAUAGCAAAGAGCUUUGAGAGGAUCCAUCGUAGCAAUCUUGCUGGCAUGGGAAUCAUCCCUCUUUGCUUCAAGGCAGGGGAGGAUGCAGACACCCUUGGGUUAACUGGCCAUGAGCGCUACACGAUCCACCUUCCAACCAAUGUGAGUGAAAUCAAGCCUGGACAAGAUGUUACCGUGACAACUGAUACUGGGAAGUCUUUCACUUGCACACUCAGAUUUGACACUGAGGUACGAUUUUUCUCCUGUGCGUUACUUGCUGACGCUGAUUAAAUAAACUGGUAUGCUGAUGUUGUAUUUUUUAUUAACGAUUCAACGUUCAGGUGG